UACGGAGGAUUCAAGCGUUAUCCGGAUUUAUUGGGUUUAAAGGGUGCGUAGGCGGUUUGAUAAGUUAGAGGUGAAAUGUUAGGGCUUAACCCUGAAACUGCCUCUAAUACUGUUGAGCUAGAGAGUAGUUGCGGUAGGCGGAAUGUAUGGUGUAGCGGUGAAAUGCUUAGAGAUCAUACAGAACACCGAUUGCGAAGGCAGCUUACCAAACUAUAUCUGACGUUGAGGCACGAAAGCGUGGGGAGCAAACA
rnacentral:rRNA from 1 species